rnacentral:rRNA from 1 species
UUACGAACGCUGGCGGCGUGCUUAACACAUGCAAGUCGAACGGAAAGGCCCUGCUUUUGGGGGGUGCUCGAGUGGCGAACGGGUGAGUAACACGUGAGUAACCUGCCCUUGACUUUGGGAUAACUUCAGGAAACUGGGGCUAAUACCGGAUAGGAGCUCCUGCUGCAUGGUGGGGGUUGGAAAGUUUCGGCGGUUGGGGAUGGACUCGCGGCUUAUCAGCUUGUUGGUGGGGUAGUGGCUUACCAAGGCUUUGACGGGUAGCCGGCCUGAGAGGGUGACCGGCCACAUUGGGACUGAGAUACGGCCCAGACUCCUACGGGAGGCAGCAGUGGGGAAUAUUGCACAAUGGGCGGAAGCCUGAUGCAGCAACGCCGCGUGCGGGAUGACGGCCUUCGGGUUGUAAACCGCUUUCGCCUGUGACGAAGCGUGAGUGACGGUAAUGGGUAAAGAAGCACCGGCUAACUACGUGCCAGCAGCCGCGGUGAUACGUAGGGUGCGAGCGUUGUCCGGAUUUAUUGGGCGUAAAGGGCUCGUAGGUGGUUGAUCGCGUCGGAAGUGUAAUCUUGGGGCUUAACCCUGAGCGUGCUUUCGAUACGGGUUGACUUGAGGAAGGUAGGGGAGAAUGGAAUUCCUGGUGGAGCGGUGGAAUGCGCAGAUAUCAGGAGGAACACCAGUGGCGAAGGCGGUUCUCUGGGCCUUUCCUGACGCUGAGGAGCGAAAGCGUGGGGAGCGAACAGGCUUAGAUACCCUGGUAGUCCACGCUGUAAACGGUGGGCACUAGGUGUGGGGUCCAUUCCACGGGUUCCGUGCCGUAGCUAACGCUUUAAGUACCCCGCCUGGGGAGUACGGCCGCAAGGCUAAAACUCAAAGGAAUUGACGGGGCCCCGCACAAGCGGCGGAGCAUGCGGAUUAAUUCGAUGCAACGCGUAGAACCUUACCUGGGUUUGACAUGGAUCGGGAGUGCUCAGAGAUGGGUGUGCCUCUUUUGGGGUCGGUUCACAGGUGGUGCAUGGCUGUCGUCAGCUCGUGUCGUGAGAUGUUGGGUUAAGUCCCGCAACGAGCGCAACCCUUGUUCACUGUUGCCAGCACGUUAUGGUGGGGACUCAGUGGAGACCGCCGGGGUCAACUCGGAGGAAGGUGGGGAUGACGUCAAGUCAUCAUGCCCCUUAUGUCCAGGGCUUCACGCAUGCUACAAUGGCUGGUACAGAGAGUGGCGAGCCUGUGAGGGUGAGCGAAUCUCGGAAAGCCGGUCUCAGUUCGGAUUGGGGUCUGCAACUCGACCUCAUGAAGUCGGAGUCGCUAGUAAUCGCAGAUCAGCAACGCUGCGGUGAAUACGUUCCCGGGGCUUGUACACACCGCCCGUCAAGUCAUGAAAGUUGGUAACACCCGAAGCCGGUGGCCUAACCGUUGUGGGGGAGCCGUCGGAGGUGGGACUGG